rnacentral:misc_RNA from 1 species
UCUCCGUAGGUGAACCUGCGGAGGGAUCAUUACAGAGUUCAUGCCCUACCGGGUAGAUCUCCCACCCUAUGUUAUUAUUACUUUGUUGCUUUGGCGGGCCGUUAGGCUCCGGCCCGACUACCGGCCCCGGCUGGUAAGCGCCCGCCAGAGGACCCAAAACCCUGAAUAUUAGUGUCGUCUGAGUACUAUAUAAUAGUUAAAACUGUCAACAACGGAUCUCUUGGUUCUG